ensembl:snRNA U6 U6 spliceosomal RNA
AUGCUUUGGUAGCACAUAUACUGAAAUUGGACUGCUACACAGAAGACUGGCAUGACCCCUGCACAGGAUGACAGCAAAUUCAUGAAACAUUCCAUAUUUUU